rnacentral:rRNA from 1 species
UACGUAGGGGGCAAGCGUUGUCCGGAAUCAUUGGGCGUAAAGGGCGCGUAGGCGGGCAUAUAAGUCUGAUGUGAAAGUGCGGAGCUUAACUCCGUAAAGCAUUGGAAACUGUAUGUCUUGAGGACAGGAGAGGAAAGUGGAAUUCCACGUGUAGCGGUGAAAUGCGUAGAGAUGUGGAGGAACACCAGUGGCGAAGGCGACUUUCUGGACUGUAACUGACGCUGAGGCGCGAAAGCGUGGGGAGCGAACAGG